rnacentral:pre_miRNA from 1 species
AUUCUACUCCCUCCGCUGCACAAUACUACAUGCCUUCUAUUUGUCAAAAUAUAUAUGUAUCUAGACAUGUCUUAGUAUAUAGGUACAUCCAUUUUUGGACAAAUGGAAGUCAAGUAUUUUGGAACGGAGGGAGUACACA